rnacentral:rRNA from 1 species
GCGUCAAAGCUCAUCACAAAUCAUUCCAAUAAUUACAGCAUUUUAAUCUAAACCCAACAACAAUAUCGAGCUACUCCAUGACUUCAUGGAAGAACUUAUGCUAGAACUAGUAACCAGGAUAAAACAUCCUCCUAAUGUAAGUGUAAAACAGAACGAAUUUAUCACCGUUAAUCAACGCCCUUAAUGAAAAAACUGCAACAACAAAACAAGAAAAACCUGCUCAUACCAAGCGUUAACCUAACACAAGAACAUCAAAGGAAAGACAAAAAAAUAAGAAAGGAACUCGGCAAACAUUGAAUCUCGCCUGUUUACCAAAAACAUCGCCUCUUGCAAAUAAACAAGCAUAAGAGGUCUAGCCUGCCCAGUGACAAACUGUUCAACGGCCGCGGUAUUCUGACCGUGCAAAGGUAGCGUAAUCACUUGUCUUUUAAAUAAAGACUGGUAUGAAAGGCACCACGAGGAUUCAACUGUCUCUCUUAUUUAGUCAGUGAAACUGAUCUUCCAGUGCAGAAGCUGGAAUAACUACACAAGACGAGAAGACCCUAUGGAGCUUUAAACACAAGUCACUUACCCCAUUUUUUCAAUCAAAAGAUAAAACUUACUUAAUUGAGUAUGAAUGACCUAGCGUUUUUGGUUGGGGCGACCACGGAGAAUAAAAAAUCCUCCGAGAAGAAAGGACAACAUCCUAAAAAAAGAACGACAGUUCUAAAUAUCAGAAUAUCUGACCUGCUUGAUCCAGUCUUACUGAUCAACGAACCAAGUUACCCUAGGGAUAACAGCGCAAUCUACUUAGAAAGUUCAUAUCGACAAGUAGGUUUACGACCUCGAUGUUGGAUCAGGGCACCCUAGUGGUGCAGCCGCUACUAA